rnacentral:misc_RNA from 1 species
CCUCCUUUCUAAGGAUGAUUGAAAGUAAAAUUUCAAUCUAAAUAAUAUACAGGUUAAUGUUAACCGUCCUCAUUUCUCUUCUUAAAAUAGUGUUUCUCUUCUGCAUGGGGGCCGGUAGCUCAGUUGGUUAGAGCACACCCUUGAUAAGGGUGGGGUCGAUAGUUCGAGUCUAUCUCGGCCCACCAAAUUUUAUCUGGGGGAUUAGCUCAGCUGGGAGAGCGCCUGAUUUGCAUUCAGGAGGUCAGCGGUUCGAUCCCGCUAUCCUCCACCAAGAAACACUUAGUUAUUUUUUUUGUGAAUAUUUAAUAAUUUAUAUCAAUAUCUAUAUCCGAACAUUAAAAGUUAUUAUUUAAUGUUCAAAUAAAAAUUUGAUCACAACACAGAAAGAAUUUUUUUCUGUGCAUAAAUCAAGCGUUUAAGGGCGUGUGGCGGAUGCCUUGGCACUGAAAGCCGAUGAAGGACGUGGUAUACUGCGAUAAGUUACGGGGAGCUGUAUGCAAGUUUUGAUCCGUANAUUCCGAAUGGGGAAACCAAGGGCGAA